AAGCAACUAUUUCACCAACAACUGCAGGCUGUUUUGCGUCUCAAAUUUCAGAUUUCGCGGAAAGGGACCGAAUGUCAAGACAGAUCACAGACUCCCUUCCUUUUUCAUUAAAAACGAAUCCAUUAAAAGGGAGGGCAGCCCCUUUAAUGACCGCGAGAAGAGCGCGGCUUGGUUUCGGUUUUGUCUUGUUGUGUUUUUCAUUUCGACCUAGAAUCAGUGUAUUUCUGAAGUCCCCGUGCGAUGGCGACGCUGCCGGGAAGGGCGGCUCUGCAGAAUAAAGCAGCGGUUUCGUCUAUGCACAAAUAUCUUACGAAGGAAACGCCCCCGUGAAUGAACUGAUGGGGAUGGGAAGGCUUGGAGAAGGGGCAAGUGCAUGGUGGAGCACAGAAUUAGGACCGUGUGGCUUCCUUUCCCAUCAAACUCACGUUCUCUCAAACCUGCUGAUCUCAGAGAGUUGUCAACAGAAAAACCAACUAUUCAAGCCUAAAGUAAACCAGGAAGGUCGAAGUGUUCCAGGAACAUCGAACCACAUAGUCCCUCCAUCUGAGCACAGAACUAUGAAGGGAGUGAGAAAUGUACCUAGUGUUCUCAAGAGCUAAAAAUAAGGAGGGAGUAACUAAACUGCUUAUGUGAAAAAAAUCAUGAGGCCGGUAUCCAAAGAAGAGUCUCAAACUUUCUUCAACAUGGAUAGUCCACCUUUUGCUCCCACCGAAUUACUAAAACAAUUUACAAGUUGAUUCACGAAUUAACUUCUAACGGUCAUGUUUUAAAGCCUCACGUUAGUCCUGAUAUUACACCGUGUACACGCUCUCUUAUUGACCCUUGAACGUUGGCGUUCCCAGAGUUCUACCCAUGGUCUCCUAUCCUCACUCUUCUCCAGAGUUCUCAAAACGGACGCCCACAGACUGGGUACAGACCACAGAUGUCUACUGUUUGGGCUCGACAGGACUUCAGGCAAAUUUAAGAAACAGUAUUUAAAACCUGAAGUUUUCACUUAUUCAUUUGGAUUUUCCAGGUUCUUUUGAAAAAUGGGAAGAUCUGACAACACCAGACCAGCCUUUACGUCUAUCAAUAAUUACCUGCAACUAAACAGAGGUUGCUCCCUAGAGACCGGAUGUUUGCUCUCCUGUUGCUAUAGUCCUCACCACUCCCUACUGCCUUAAAUCCCUGGCCCACCCCCUUAAUUCAUUUACAUGAGUGAGCACUUGCAAAGGCUCCUCAUAUACCUACGCUGUGUAAUCCCAUCCUUACUUGUGGUUUCAGCUACCUUACCCUAAAUUUCUAACAGAGAACACGUUUUGGAACACUAUACGAUCUCUCGGUUCCCCUUAGAUUACUGUAGGUGCCUCACUCUCAACAUGUCCUAAACCAAACACAUUAUUUUUUCUCAUUAACCACCAAAUUUUCCCCUUCUGUAGUCCCUAUACAGUUAAUAGUGUCACCAUCUGUGAUGGUCAGUUUUACAUGUCAACUUGUCUAGGCUAUAGUAUCCAAUUAUUCAAAUAAACGCUAAUCUAGGUUUUGCUGAAAAGAUGUU
rnacentral:lncRNA from 1 species